UUCUCAAAACCAGUUGACUCUACACAAAAAUUGAUAGAAACCAUUCUUGUAGAACGCGAUCCAUUCUACAAUUUUUGCCUCUACACUUUUUACCAUUUGUCCAAUAGUAACUGAGAUAUUUAAAGAAUUGUCUAAUCACAGGCAGUAGACCGUGGAAAAAUCUUAAGAUCCAAGUUUCUCAAAAACAGUUGACUCUACACAAAAAUUGAUAGGAACCAUUCUUGUAGAACGCGAUCCAUUCUACAAUUUUUGCCUCUACACUUUUUACCAUUUGUCCAAUAGUAACUGAGAUAUCUAAAGAAUUGUCUAAUCACAGGCAGUAUGCAGUGGAAAAAUCUUAAGAUCCAAGUUUCUCAAAAACAGUUGACUCUACACAAAAAUUGAUAGGAACCAUUCUUGUAGAACGCGAUCCAUUCUACAAUUUUUGCCUCUACACUUUUUGCCAUUUGUCCAAUAGUAACUGAGAUAUCUAAAGAAUUGUCUAAUCACAGGCAGUAUGCAGUGGAAAAAUCUUAAGGUCCAAAUUUCCCAAAACCAGUUGACUCUACACAAAAAUUGAUAGAAACCAUUCUUGUAGAACGCGAUCCAUUCUACAAUUUUUGCCUCUACACUUUUUGCCAUUUGUCCAAUAGUAACUGAGAUAUCUAAAGAAUUGUCUAAUCACAGGCAGUAGACCGUGGAAAAAUCUUAAGAUCCAAGUUUCUCAAAACCAGUUGACUCUACACAAAAAUUGAUAGAAACCAUUCUUGUAGAACGCGAUCCAUUC